rnacentral:sRNA from 1 species
GGAGAAUGAACUGCCCACAACUCCCGUGAAGAAGGACUCCCCCAAGAACAUCACGUUGCUUCCAGCCACCGCGGCAACCACCUCACAUUGCCAUGGUUCACAGUUUAAACAGUGAACAAUUGGUGGUGGCAAGUUGCCAUCCUGGCCAUCCUGGUUGAGGUCUUCUCCAAGUCACCGUGACCCCCUCGGGACAGAUCACGACCUCAGGGGCACUGACCUUUGACCGAGCAUCCACGGUAGAGGCCACUGCUGUCAUAUCAGAGAGUCCGGCCCAGGGCGACGUCUUCGCAGGAGCCACAGUCCAAGAGGCCAGCGUGCAGCCCCCAUGCAGGGCCAGCCACCCUGAGCCUCACUACCCCGGCUAUCAGGACAGCUGCCAGAUCGCACCGUUUCCAGAAGCUGCGUUGCCAACAUCACAUCCCAAAAUAGUGUUGACAUCCCUGCCUGCGCUGGCGGUCCCACCCCCAACUCCCACCAAAGCAGCACCUCCCGCGUUGGUCAACGGGCUGGAGCUGUCAGAGCCGCGGAGCUGGCUGUACCUGGAAGAGAUGGUCAACUCCUUGCUCAACACCGCGCAGCAGCUGAAGACGCUGUUUGAGCAAGCCAAGCAUGCCAGCACCUACCGAGAAGCUGCCGCAAACCAGGCCAAGAUCCACGCUGACGCAGAGCGGAAGGAG